rnacentral:rRNA from 1 species
CACGUAGGGUGCAAGCGUUGUCCGGAAUUAUUGGGCGUAAAGGGCUCGUAGGCGGUCCGUCGCGUCGGGAGUGAAAACUCGGGGCUCAACCCCGAGCCUGCUUUCGAUACGGGCGGACUAGAGGUAGGUAGGGGAGAACGGAAUUCCUGGUGUAGCGGUGGAAUGCGCAGAUAUCAGGAGGAACACCGGUGGCGAAGGCGGUUCUCUGGGCCUUACCUGACGCUGGAGGAGCGAAAGCGUGGGGAGCGAACAGG